rnacentral:rRNA from 1 species
UACGGAGGGGGCUAGCGUUGUUCGGAAUUACUGGGCGUAAAGGGCGCGCAGGCGGCCAAUCAAGUCAGAUGUGAAAGCCCCGGGCUCAACCUGGGAAUACGCAUUUGGGACUGGUUGGCUAGAGAUCGGGAGAGGAGAGUGGAAUUCCCAGUGUAGAGGUGAAAUUCGUAGAUAUUGGGAAGAACACCGGUGGCGAAGGCGGCUCUCUGGACCGAUACUGACGCUGAGGCGCGAAAGCGUGGGGAGCAAACAGG